AACGUAUGCCCAACCAGGUGUGUUUUUAUAGUUCUGCUGUGUUGCUAGGGAGUCUGUGACGCAUCAAAUGGCAGGAAAAGGUGCUUCUACAGACUGAGAGGGCAGAGCUUCCCCUUCGUGCACACAAAUCUGAAAAUCAGCUUGACAGCAGACGACAGCAGGCUUCGGCUCAUCAUGCAACUAAACCGCAACUGUGGCAUGGUAAAGCUCACUUCACAUGCACCCUCCAGCUAUUCUAUUGCAGAAGUUUGUCGUGCGAGCUCGAUGUUGACAUUGUUUCCAUCCGUGCAGCUUCUGGACGAGCCCGCGUUUGUGAAACUGCUGCAGCAUGUGGUCAUCUCUGGAUCAGGGCUGUUUGUUUUCAGACUGACAGUGACGGAAGUGGCAACGGUAUCAAGAUCUGCUUCAUUAAAGGCCUGAAGCGACACACACAUCAAAGGAGAAUUGAAGUCAGAGUUCUUCUUGUUCAUUUUCAUUUUCAUUUGUUUUUUUAAUUAUGAGCAUGCAAAUAAAAUCGGAAACGAGUUGCAGAAAAGAAAAAUAUGUAUUUUUGCAUUGAAUCAUAACAGAUAAAUUUUGCUUUAAUUGAAAUAGUUUGGCUGAAAUUGUCGUAAAUCAAUGAAUACCGAUUAUUUUAGCCACAAAGCCUGACUCAAAAUGAAAUAGGCACAAAAAGUAGGAAGAUAUAUUAACACAAAAGGUUAUAUUUACUCCUUAAAGUACAAAAUAAAUAAAUAACUGAUAUGUUUGUUUGUUUUUAAAUAUUGGUUGCAUGGAGGUUUAUCGGUUAGCACCUAAAUAUGUUUGUGCAGCAUUUAAUAGUCUAUGCAGGGAAAAAAAAAGUUCUGUCAUCAGAAACGUUUACUAUUAUAUCAUCUGCAACAUCAUAUUUUUGGAUUCUCCUAGAAAAGCUCAAUUUUUUUUUAAUUUUCUCUAGGUGAUGGGAAAGUAUGUUGAUAGUCCCGAAAUAAACAGUAUACGAUUUUAAACAUUCUUUUUUAGCAAAAUGUUUACCACUUAAUGUACUCUGAGACCUUGGUAUGAAUGAGUCAUGUUAGAAAAACUGAGUUUUUAACAUGUUCUUGUGGCAUUUUUCCAAUGAAAGAUGACAUAUAUGUUGAGAAAAUGUAGCUCAAAAGGAUUAUUUCUUUAUUCAAAUCGUAAAUCAGGAGGUGACGAAAAAAAUGCCAUUGGAAAAAGAGAUUAUUUGUGACGUCGAAAAUACGCUAGGCAUGCCACAAGUUCCUGGCUCCGCCCUUUUUUUGAUGCAUCCGAUUGUAGACGGCCAGAUCCACGUACGUCUUUGUUUUCCUCAUCUGAGCUGGAAUCUGGAUCUAAACUGUACGGCUGGAAGGCUCCAAUGUUGCUCGCCAUUUUUGGAGGAUAGCAUGUAAACAGAGAGCUAUCAGCAACGAGGAGGGGGAGGGGGGCUGGGGUUGCUCUGUAUCAACGGAAAACAAUCUUCAGAAAAAGAUCUUCAUCAACCUCAAGUGCUACAGGAAGAUUGUUUCUUUGCAACCCUUUCAAGUUAAACCUAUUAUACCUGUUUAGGUUUUAUUUUAUUUUUUACUUUAUUUACCAUGUUGUUGUUAGGAAGAAAAGUGGAAAAGGGGCAAACACUUUUCUACCUAUUUUGGACGUUUGUCACACAUUAAAAUGUUGUAGAUGGUCAAAUUUUUGUGAUAUUACACAAAGAUUGCUUCAGUUAGUUAAAACAAUUUUUCAACAACUCAGUUUUGUAGGGGGAAAUGGCCACUCGGCUAAAAAUAAAGUGUAAUUUUCUUCUAAUUUGGUUUCCUACCUUUUUUUAUAUUUUCAAUUGAGUGGCACUCCUGGUCUAUAAAUAGGAAGUCAAGUCACAAAACCCAUAGCUAAGAAUUAAAUCUAUUCAUAACACAAUAUAAUGCACAAUAAUUAUAUUACUGUUAUUGCACAGCUGGGAUCUUAAGCCUGAACCUUCAUGGUUUUCUAGAACCAAAGUUAGCAACUAUGCCUAAGUUUUUCUAUGAAGAAUUAAUGCUGAGAAAUGCUGGAUCCCUUGUUUUAUUGUUUAAUGUAUAAAGAUUUCACCUGAAAUCUUCUAUUUUCUUCUCCUCGUGUGUUUAUCAGAAGCUUAUGGAUUCAAACAUUAUCCAACAUGACAAACAAGAAAAAAUGAGAGGUGGAUUCCCAGGCCAAAGCGUUCACCUCAUAGAUUAUGGUAAAAAUUAAAAAUAAAAAGUAACCCUGAAGAAGGCAAAAGUGUCUUAUUUUUGCCAACUCAGCUGAAAUUACACAAGUUGAGGCCUAGCAGGGAACUUGUUCCUCUCGCACAGCAAGUUGGGGUGUAACUCCGCUUGACUCACCGUGGUGAAAAGGUGAUAAUCUGAGAGGUAAUUUCUCCUUCACCAGAUUCACCUCAGUGGAAGCAGCUGGACAAAGUUCAGCACGUAUAAAAAAAAAAAUCUAUUUAUUUGGAGCGAUAGUGAAACUCGGCAGGACUGAGUUGCUGACUCAUCCAGGAAGUUAUCAAAAAAACAAAAACAAAUAGUAUGUAAAGAACUGCAGGCCUCACUAUUGACUUUUUUGUCAAUAAGUUUUACCAAAUAAAAAAAAUAAAAAUAAGUAAAGACAACAAUCAAUAAGAUUAAGAAGCACUGACUCUGCCAAUCAAAAGGAUCACAGUAUCUAGAUUAUUCCUGAGGUUGCAGGAGACAAUAGUUUGUGAAUGAUGUUCUGUGCAUGAGGUAGAAGUAAACUGUUGCUGUUUGCAUUAAGCGUCUCAUGAAUUCCCAGGAGGAAAUCGCAAUCACAGUCGCUCACAGGGGACGCGUUCAGGGACGCUUUCUACCUGAAAUUUCCAAAGAAGAACAUCGCCAUCAAUUAAUCAUGCUGGAAUAAAGUUGCCUUAAACCAGGGAUUUUUAACCUAUUUUCGAGCCACAGAACGGUUCAAUAAUUUAUAUUUAUAAGGCCGAAGAGGGGGUGCGAUUUUUUAUUUAAACUUCCAGUUUCGUCUUAACUCUUGAGGGUAAAGUUUAUCUUCAUCCUCUGUAAAAAAAAUCUCUGUUGCUGCUUUAAACCUCACCUGUACACUAGAUUUUGUGUAGGAACCGUCAACAUUUUACCGUCAAAGUGGAAGUCAAUAAAUAAAUAAAUAAAUGAAACCUCGUCUGACUUCCCACUAGACAAAGGUAAGCGAUUCCCUGGGCCCCUGACACCUGAACACUUGAAAAAUUAUUUCCAUGCCCAUCAUUAUUUGACUCUGUCAAAAAAUAAAAUAAAAUAAAAACUACAAUGUGAAAGUGUUUUAACUCUCCCCAUCUGCCUCCAGAAAUGUAAUAUUCCAAAAAUGGAAUAACAGCAAAUUAGCGAACAGAAAGAGACUCUUAAAAGGGAUUUUUUUUUUAAACAUGGUAAGAUGAGGCAUGGGUGAAAAUGAUCACUAUAGUGUUGAUGCCAUAAAAAAAACAAUCUCACUCAAAAUACUAACAAUGUAAGUUAAACAGCAACAAAACUGAUGUGCAGGAAGAAAGACAGAACAGGAAAAAGAAGAAGAGAACAGGGAAAGAUUUUUAAAAAAAUAAUGCAUUCAACCUAUGUGGAAGGCCCCCAUGCUAAUGUCCACCUGGGGCCCACCAAUCUGUUAAGUCCGGCCCUGCUUUUAAGCUGUGACAGAUACAUAGAAGGAGAAAAACCUCUGACUAAAACUGGUAUUUUCUAAAUAUUAAACAUGAAUAAGCAGUUUGAGCAGCAUUAUUAGAUACGUCUUUGUAACAUUAAUCACAUGCUUGACUAUUAUGGUGUGUGGGAACAACUGUGGCAAUAAAUAAAUCUAAAUUUGGGGUAAAGAAUCCUGUCUGUUAAAUGCACAUUACCUUUAUUUACUUCUUAUGAAGUCAAAGGCUCUUCUGUUUCCUCACUGGCUCCUUUAUUGUGAAAAGAAACUUUCAGAUUAUUUUUUUUUCUGUCAACUUUGUUACCUUGGGGGUUUCAUUGUAAGGGUUGGCGCAGUCGCAUUAAGAAAGUAGCAGCUGUAUUUUCGACACGUGACAAGCCACUUGAUGUGUGUCAAGAAUGACUUGGAUGUUGGAGAGAAAAUCCAGUCGUUUUUUAUCAAAAUAAAACCAAAUCCGAUUAUACAUAAAAUGGGAAAAAUGUAGGUUGUGUUUUAAUUCCCCCCCUCCAAUUACAGACUCAGAGGCUGGUCAGUUACGGCACUUUCUAGUUUAGGAAGCAGCAGUGAUAACAAAUUAAACCAUCAUAGAUGCAUGUCUGUCCAUGACAAACUGCAUCCACUGCUGAGCGGUGCAAAUAUCCUUUUAGAAUCAGGAACGAUGAACAACUCUGCCGUCUUUUGUAGCUUAAAAAAGACACAGCUCUGACAUCUUCUUUUUUAACCAGAACGUCUUUCAAAAUAAACCAGAUUAAUGCUGAGACAGCAGACCAACCCUUAUCACAUUCUGGAAUUUCCUGACAUAAAUGUCCUUUAAAAUAAACAUCGUUUCAGGGAGUGUGGAGGGAGCAAAACAGAGUCAACUAAGAUCUGACCUAAACUAUUGUGAAUAUGUGACAUCAGGGUAAAAGCUCUAAGUACACUUUUACUGGGAGAUCCUCCAUCGUGGUACAGCUGAGGUUUUUUCUUCAUUUUUAAACAAAUUGACAAAAACAUGCUGAGUAGAACUAUAAUAAGUGGUUGAUGAAUUAGUCACUUAAAUUCACAUGGAUGCUCUUUGUCCUUAUGAUGUUUAGAUUAUGUCACACUUGAUUUGUCGAGUUUUUCUUGUUAUGCACUGCAUAAAAACGUCCUUCUUAAAACAGGUUAAGAAAAAACUCAAUGUUUUUAUCUUUUUAUAGGUGAAAAAAAUCUGCCAAUAGAUCUACUGUAGAAUUUGUCUGGGUGAGAUUUAAUCCAAGAAAAAUGUUAAGUGCCCUUUUAAGACAAAAUUGAAUCUUGAAAUUGGCUACAAACAUUUAUCUUUAAGUAUAUUGCUCUGAUA
rnacentral:lncRNA from 1 species